rnacentral:rRNA from 1 species
GACGAACGCUGGCGGCGUGCUUAACACAUGCAAGUCGAACGGAAAGGCCCUGCUUUUGUGGGAUGCUCGAGUGGCGAACGGGUGAGUAACACGUGAGUAACCUGCCCUUGACUUUGGGAUAACUUCAGGAAACUGGGGCUAAUACCGGAUAGGAGCUCCUGCUGCAUGGUGGGGGUGGGAAAGUUUCGGCGGUUGGGGAUGGACUCGCGGCUUAUCAGCUUGUUGGUGGGGUAGUGGCUUACCAAGGCUUUGACGGGUAGCCGGCCUGAGAGGGUGACCGGCCACAUUGGGACUGAGAUACGGCCCAGACUCCUACGGGAGGCAGCAGUGGGGAAUAUUGCACAAUGGGCGGAAGCCUGAUGCAGCAACGCCGCGUGCGGGAUGACGGCCUUCGGGUUGUAAACCGCUUUCGCCUGUGACGAAGCGUGAGUGACGGUAAUGGGUAAAGAAGCACCGGCUAACUACGUG